rnacentral:lncRNA from 1 species
ACGAUCACGUUUUAAUCUGAUCCAGGAAGCUGAAAUAUUUGUGAUUAAUAUUAAAAAAUCUCAUGUUUGAAAUGUGAAGUAUAUAAGAAAUAUGCAUUAAUUUUUAGUCAUGUUGCACAAAAAUCUAGGGCUGCAUAAUAGGAAAAAAAGAGAGAGCAAGGUGUCCCAUUUUGGUUUGCAUGCGUGCUGCUCUGCAUAUUGGAAAAAAAAUAAAAGAAGUGUCACCAAACAUUUGAGGCGCGGCGAAACACACGUACGCAGAUAGUUCUUGCUAACUCUUGGACAACACGGAGGUGAUAGAAGUGAUGAAUCAAGAAUCAAGGAGGACGAUCAGCAAAGCGGCGAUUCUAGCGGUCCUAGCAUGUACCGGCACCGCUAGAGCCAAUCAGAGCCGAGCAAAGGCCUCCCCACGUGCUGAGCAAAAGCAGCCCCCUCCCCUUCACGUGC